UUUUUCAAACAGAGAGAGAGAGAGGCGCUCUGAUUCAUGGCUCCUACAUCAUAGGGUUUUGUAUGCGCCCCCAUGUUCAUUUUCAACCAGCAAGACUCCAACCAAGCAAAAUUAUAAGAUUUUUUCCCAAAGUCCCAACUGCCCAUUUCUCUCAUUUGAGUAUGGCCAUUGGCCACCACCUAAAGAUGUGGGAGGCUCAUAAUUAAUCAUGUGUGUGUACUUUUGUGGGGUCCUGCCCUUAGCUGUGUGUCACAAAUGUCCCAUUAAAGUAGGGUGCCCCCUCAAGUCCUCUGCUCUACACCACCACCACCCACCAACCAAAAGGUCAAAGAAUUUCUAUCUUCAACUUUUGGGUUAAUUCAUCAUUUUAAGCUAAAUAUAUUUAAUUAUUAUUAAUUUAAUUUUUUUUCAAUUUUAAAUUUUAAAUUAAUAAUGAUAUUCAUAUUUAAUUUUCAAGAAAUUAAUCAGUGGGGUUUCUAUUUUGAGCAAUCUUUUGUGUCAAGUUCGAUUGAAUAAUACCAAGAUUAGGUUUUAAUUAAUUAUAGUAUCUAGAAUUAAUGAUAAGAAAAUGGGUUAUGCUUCACUUUUUUGGAGUCACUGAUAUGUUAUUUGUUUAUUUGUGAGCUUUGGAUUUUAGUCUUGUCAGUUGUCUAGUCUUUGUCUUGUACUUGAAAAUUCAAAUAUUAAUGAUAGAUCAAGAAUUUUUUUAAGGAUAUGUUUGGCAUUUUUUUUAAAGUGUUCUAAUAAAUUAUUAAAAAAGCAUUUAUUAAUUAUUUUAAAAAAUAAAAUGUAAUUUAUAAAUUAAGAUAUGAAAAUAUCUCUAAAAUAUCAGCUCGUUUUGAACCCAAAAGGUCCUCAUGAUUUUUUCCCAACUGUAUAUAUUGUUUAACUUUCUCUCCAUUCGAUGAGGGUAUCAAAUAAAUCCUCAUCGAAUUCUAAGAUCAGUUUUGAUAUCAUUUACAAUAACUCUCAUCGGAUUCAAAGAUCAGUUCUAAUAUCAUUUAUAAUAACCCGCAUCUAAUUAUAUAUAUUGUCUAUUUUGGAUCUAAAAUACCAUAAUGAUUUUAAAACACAUCUACUUAGUAAAAAGGGUCUUGAAUACUUUACCUAAAACUUUGUCCCCUAAGGGAUAUCACAAAAUAAAUUUCAAUCAUUCCAUUUUGCAAUCCAUACAAAGUGAAAACAAGAGGAGAUCAAGUGGUAAUUCAAGAAAUUAAAAUUUAAAUAUCAAUAAUUACAAUAAAUGUGGGACCCAUAUACCAUAAAUGUAUUGACAAAUCAAGUGAAAUGUUUUAAAUGCUUUGAAUUUUAAAAGUUUUAGUUAAAGGACAGUUUUGAUAUAUUAAGCUUACUAAAGCCCUCCCCAAUAAUUAUUAAAAGAUAUCACCCUUUCUAAUAAUUGUUUUACCUAGCCUACCCUUUUGGGUAAUUCUCCCUUUUUUUUUUCCGUAAAAAUAAUGUUUUUUUAAAUAAAUAUUUAAAAUAGUUAAGGAUAUUUAUGUGAAAAUUAAGUUAUUUUUUAAAUAAAAAUAUGAAAAAUGUUAAAUUCAUAAAUAUGAGAGGUUAUUUCAACUUUUUUAACCUAUUCAUUCAAAUAUAAAAUGUAAAUUUCGAAUCAAUAUAUACUUAGAUUUUACUGUGGGGUUAUCACAAUGUUUGCACUAUUAAAAAACAAUUAUAAAAAAUUUAUACGCAACAAAAUAGUUUUUGAAAAUUAAUGUUUUUAGACUAAUAUAUAUUUUAUAUUUUUAAAUAUAAAAUAAUGUUUAUAUAUAACAUAUUAUUUAUUUUUAACUAUUUUUCAUAUUUGUGAAAUUAUAUUUUAAAAUAAUAUUUAAAACAUAACUAAAAAUAACUAAAAAAUCAUUUUAUUCGAAGACAUCAUAUUAUUUAAAAAUUAUUUUUGAAAACAAUUAUCAAAUAUAAUCUUAAUUUUUUAAAACACUCCUAAAAAUAACUAUCACUUAUUUUUAAGAAAAAUAGUUUAUACAAAAAUUUAAAUAUAAGAAAUAGUUUUCUACUUAAAUAUAAAAAUUUAAAUUUAAUAUAAAAAUACUUAAUUUAUUCUUUAUAAUUAUAUUUGAAGGUAUCUCUUUUUUUUUUUUAGGAAGUUUAUCAUGUUCACCAUAAAAAAUAAAAAUAAAAUAUGGUAAAAAUUAGGUUAAUAGAUGAAGUUAUAAACAAUGAGAUAAAAAUAUGAAACAAUGGAACUUGAUUGUGUAUAUGAUAUAUUUGAAUGGUCUUGUUUUUUUAGUAGACGUCGACCGAUAAAAAUAUCAAUAAUGAAAAAUAAGAUCGAAGUAUAAAAAGGUAAGACUAAGAUAUAAACUAAUGAAAUAUACACCACAUAUCGUGAUGGAUAGAUGAUUUAAUAUCGAGAAUCAUGACUUUUGUAUGGGAAAUUAAAUUCAAAUCGGGCAUAAAUGGCUUCUUUUUGGGUGUGAAAUUCAAGAAGUAUUCAAUUUCUAAUAACUUUUCCACCGGUAAGUUUUAAUAUGGGUACCUUCAUCCAACUUUACUCUCCCCAAUAACUUUCUGCACCCUUUACGUACCCCAUAUGAAUUUCAUAACUUGGUGGUUCAUUUCAUGUCAUGACCUCUCAUUAGUCAUUACAUUGGAAAUGAAAUCAAAAUUAGGCAUGAAAAAUGAUGUACAGGGGGCACUAAAAGACAAGAAGAAAUAUCUCAAUGUAGCUGUCCCAGGGUAUGGGGGUCCUUCCGUGACAAGGCCUUAUCAUUAUGUUGCCCCCAGUGGGUGGGGAGGGGAAUUGAGCCUCAAAUUUUGAUGUCUGCUCUGUUUGUUUGGUGAGAAAUAAAGUCGUGAACAAGAAAACCUUUCCUUCUUUGUAUUCAAAGUGGCUAUCAAAUAAGCAAGUAUUCAACCACUGGUUUUGUUGUGUGUACUUUGUCAAUUUUUGGAUAAAAAUGUUCCAAAUUUGUUGAAAGAUUAACCAAUUAAGCGAUCAAAUAGGAAUCGGAUCGAACCCUAAUAAUCAAAUUCGAAUUAAACGAGAUUAAGAUGUUAAAAAAAACCGAUACCAAUUAAUCAAAAACCAUGUAGAAGUGAAGGGGAGAAGGAAAAUGAUGGGGGGAGAUGUCAUUUUCUUUGCAAAAGAUGCAUGGUGGCAUCACCUCAUAGAUUGCAUGUGGCUCUCAACUCUUAAGAUUGUGACACUUCUCUUGGUAUGGAGGAGUCCUGUCCUGCCCAUGGAUUUUUUCCCCUUCAUCCCCACAUAUGAUGCAUACAUUCUAAGUGCCGACAAAGUAAAUUUUAGGGUCAUAUUAGCACUUUAAUAUUAUAUUUUUUUAAAAAUAAUUAUAUAAAUUAUGACAGUUCAUAUCAAAUAAAGGGAAAAAUUUUGAUGCUAUAUAAGUAUGUACUCCUUAUAAUUUUAUAAAUGCGUUUUAAAACCAUAAAGACCUUUUUGAAUUCAAAACGCACAAUUAAAAAUAGAUUCUUAUAAAAAUAUUUAUAUUAUAAUUGUAUUCGACUAUACCCCUAUACCAAAAUUCGGCUCAUACAACGUACCAUUUUCCCACAUCAAAAGAUAUUUUCUAGAAGCCAACCUGCAACUUGGACAACUGUUGUGCAUUUUUCAAACAGAGAGAGAGAGAGAGAGAGAGAGGCGCUCUGAUUCAUGGCUCCUGCAUCAUAGGGUUUUGGUAUGCGCCCCCAUGUUCAUUUUCAACCAGCAAGACUCCAACCAAGCAAAAUUAUAAGAUUUUUUCCCAAAGUCCCAACUGCCCAUUUCUCUCAUUUGAGUGUGGCCAUGGGCCACCGCCUAAAGAUGUGGGAGGCUCAUAAUUAAUCAUGUGUGUGUACUUUUGUGGGGUCCUGCCCUUAGCUGUGUGUCACAAAUGUCCCAUUAAAGUAGGGUGCCCGCUCAAGUCCUCUGCUCUACACCACCACCACCCACCAACCAAAAGGUCAAAGAAUUUCUAUCUUCAACUUUUGGGUUAAUUCAUCAUUUUAAGCUAAAUAUAUUUAAUUAUUAUUAAUUUAAUUUUUUUUCAAUUUUAAAUUUUAAAUUAAUAAUGAUAUUCAUAUUUAAUUUUCAAGAAAUUAAUCAGUGGGGUUUCUAUUUUGAGCAAUCUUUUGUGUCAAGUUCGAUUGAAUAAUACCAAGAUUAGGUUUUAAUUAAUUAUAGUAUCUAGAAUUAAUGAUAAGAAAAUGGGUUAUGCUUCACUUUUUUGGAGUCACGUAUAGUGAUAUGUUAUUUGUUUAUUUGUGAGCUUUGGAUUUUAGUCUUGUCAGUUGUCUAGUCUUUGUCUUGUACUUGAAAAUUCAAAUAUUAAUUAUUGAUCAAGAAUUUUUUAAGGAUAUGUUUGGCAUUUUUUUUAAAGGGUUCUAAUAAAUUAUUAAAAAAGCAUUUAUUAAUUAUUUUAGAAAAUAAAAUGUAAUUUAUAAAUUAAGAUAUGAAAAUAUCUCUAAAAUAUCAGCUCGUUUUGAACCUAAAAGGUCCUCAUGAUUUUUUCCCAACUGUAUAUAUUGUCUAACUUUCUCUCUAUUCGAUGAGGGUAUCAAAUAAACCCCUCAUCGAAUUCUAAGAUCAGUUCUGAUAUCAUUUAUAAUAACUCUCAUCGGAUUCAGAGAUCAGUUCUAAUAUCAUUUAUAAUAACCCGCAUCCAAUUAUACAUAUUGUCUGUUUUGGAUAUAAAAUGCCAUAAUGAUUUUAAAACACAUCUACUUAAUAAAAAGGGUCUUUGAAUACUUUACCUAAAACUUUGUCCCCUAAAGGAUAUCACAAAAUAAAUUUCAAUCAUUCCAUUUUGCAAUCCAUACAAAGUGAAAACAAGAGGAGAUCAAGUGGUGAUUCAAGAAAUUAAAAUUUCAUAAAAAAAUAUAUAUAAUAUUACCCACAUUUUAUACAUCUAUGAGACUAAAGCUAAUAAAAAUAUUACUCGAAAAAAACAAAAACAAUAAUAAAAACAAAAAUUGAUUAGUCCAAGGCAUUUGGACCAGCACAGGCUUUGAGGGCGGGACUCCAUAUCCACUGUACCAAGAACUUUCUCUUUCUCCUUCCAUUCAAAUUAAAUGUUCUUCCCUCUCUGUCCCUCAUCACUUGACCGAUAUACCCUCCUCCACCACCUGUUCCGUACAGCCCCUCACACAGAUCGCCGAUCUCCGUCGGGGCCGUGGGGUCUUCUCCGGCGUACCACGCGUUCACCAGCGGGUUCGAUGACAGCUCCGCCAGCUCGUGUCCGAUCACGCUGAUCAUGCCGUCGACGCCAACGUCCCUGUUCGGCGGGGACAGGGCGGACGGGCCGCCUCCUGUCAUGUACGCCGGCACGGCGAAGGGGUACGCGCAAACAUCGGGGCACUGCUUCCCGGAGUUCCCCACCCAGGCGUACGGGAGCGUGUAGCCGACCAUCGACGGGAAGGUGAAGUAGUGGAAGCCGCAGACGGCGCGGCAGAAAUCCUGCACGGCGACGUCCUCGGAGGUCAGAAUCAGGUAGAUUCCGUUCUUGUGGUCCACCGGGAACGGCGCGGCGCG
rnacentral:lncRNA from 1 species